AUGGUUGGGGAUGGAUUUGGAAACCAGUCUGUUCAAGCAUGGAUGGCGUGGCGGCGUCGGCAUCCUCGUGGUGGACCUGUGUCCUCGGGCUCCGCCGUUGCGACAACGUUUGCUUCAGCAUCGGCGCGGAGCUUGGGAGGUAGUCAAAGUGCGGAUGCAGAUUGUGGUCUGCAUCGACGACAUCUGGAAGACGGAGCAUGUGCUGGGCUCGUGGUUCGUGGAUGGCAGCCGGUGGCGCCGGCGCCGGCGCCGGAGAAGGCGGCUCCGGACGAUAAGCAACUCGACGGGAAGGAGCUGGAACCGAAGUUGAAGAAGGGCCAGAAGUUGAAGAAGGAUCAGAAGGCUCAAGCUGCUUCGGAUGGACCGAAGAAAACCGAGAAGAAACAAAGGAAGAAAGCCGUGGACGAUGAAAACCCUGAGGAUUUCGUUGAUCCGGACACCCCUAUUGGGCAGAAGAAAUCAAUGGCCACUCUAAUGGCCAAGCCGUAUAGCCCAAGCGUAGUUGAGAAAUGGUGGUAUGCCUGGUGGGAGUCUUCGGGAUAUUUUGGGGCAGAUCCUGCUAGCACAAAACCACCCUUUGUCAUAGAUGCUAUGAUACGCUGGCGGAGGAUGUCUGGUUAUAAUGCUCUUUGGGUCCCUGGGGUGGACCACGCUGGCAUUGCUACACAGGUUGUAGUGGAGAAGAAGCUGAUGCGUGAAAGGAAGUUGACAAGGCAUGACAUAGGGCGUGACAAAUUCAUAUCUGAAUAUGGUGGUACCAUAUUGAAUCAAUUACGUAGUCUUGGAGCCUCCCUUGAUUGGUCCCGCGAGGUAAACUUCUUAUUUUCUUUAGUUAUGAAAAAUAAUGAGAACAAUGUAUUAUCUAUAGUUCUAACUCCUAAUAAUGUCAACUUCGUUUGUCAGUGCUUUACAAUGGAUGAGAAAAGAUCAAAAGCUGUAACUGAAGCUUUUGUCAGGUUGUAUAAAGAUGACCUUGUUUAUAGGGAUUAUCGCCUUGUAAAUUGGGAUUGCGCGCUUCUAACUGCGAUUUCUGACAUAGAGGUUGGUCUUAAAGAAGAAACUAUGCUAAAGGUCCCUGGUUACAGCACACCAGUACAAUUUGGUGUCUUGAUUUCCUUUGCGUAUCCUCUUGAAGGAGGAUUGGGUGAGAUUAUUGUUGCAACAACAAGAAUUGAAACUAUGCUGGGUGAUACAGCAAUAACUGUUCAACCAGAGGAUAAAAGAUAUAAGCAUCUGCAUGGAAGAUAUGCAAUUCACCCCUUCAAUGGCAGAAAACUAAAAAUAAUCUGCGAUGCUGUGUUGGUGGAUCCCACUUUUGGCACUGGGGCUGUCAAGAUUACACCAGCCCAUGAUCCAAAUGACUUUGAGGUUGGAAAGCGACAUAACCUAGAGUUCAUCAAUAUCUUCACAGACGAUGGGAAAAUAAACAGCAAUGGAGGCACACAAUUUGAAGGAAUGCCAAGAUUUGCUGCUCAGGUUGCUGUCAUAGAAGCAUUGAAGGCAAAGAGCUUGUACAAGGACACGAAAAAGAACGAAAUGAGUUUGGGCAUUUGUUCAAGAAGUAAUGAUGUGGUGGAACCCAUGAUGAAACCUCAAUGGUUUGUUAAUUGCAAUACCAUGGCAAAGGCAGGUCUUAAUGCUGUAAGAUCCAAAAAAAUCGAGAUUAUUCCGCAGCAAUAUGAACAAGACUGGUACAGAUGGCUUGAAAAUAUACGUGAUUGGUGUGUCUCAAGGCAACUCUGGUGGGGCCAUCGUGUACCUGCAUGGUAUGUGACACUUGAAGAAGAUCAAGUGACCGAUCUGGGUUCCAACAAUGAACGUUGGAUAGAUGCAAGAAAUGAAAGUGAUGCGAACCUUGAGACAAAGCAAAAGUAUCCGGGGAAGAAAUUCCAGUUAAAUCAAGAUCCUGAUGUGUUGGAUACGUGGUUUUCAUCUGGUCUAUUCCCAUUAACAGUACUUGGUUGGCCAGAUGACACCGCUGAUCUUAGGGCUUUCUACCCUGGCUCAGUACUCGAAACUGGACUUGAUAUUCUCUUUUUCUGGGUAGCCCGUAUGGUUAUGAUGGGAAUGCAACUAGGUGGCGAUGUGCCGUUUGAAAAGUCUGAUAAGAUCAAUCUGGAUAUCAAGAGAGUGGUGGGGUACAGACAAUGGUGCAAUAAAUUGUGGAAUGCCAUUCGUUUUGCAAUGGGCAAGCUUGGUGGACAGUGCACUCCGCCGGCAACUGUUGCUGUGUCUCAGAUGCCACCAAUCUGUAAAUGGAUACUCUCAGUACUUAACAAGGCUAUUGGGAAGACUGCCAUAAAACCGUACUUUUUCAAUGACUCUCAAGAGUUCGAAUCAACCAGAGCUGCCUGUAGAGAUGCAUUAUGGAUUUGCCUGGACACCGGCCUGCGCCUGCUUCACCCAUUCAUGCCCUAUGUAACAGAAGAGUUAUGGCAGCGUCUUCCUCAGCCCAAAGAUUCUUGCAGGAAAGGUUCCAUCAUGUUAUCAGAAUACCCAUCUGUUGUUAAGCUCCUGGCAGAGAGUGAUCAAACUCCACCUGAUUGCACAACUACUGUCGUGAACAAAGAUCUGAGCGUGUACCUCCAGCUUCAAGGAGCUCUAAAUGCGGAAGCUGAGCGUGAAAAGCUAAAGAAAAAGAGAGACGAAAUUCAGAAGCUACGGCAUGCCUUGUCACAGAAGAUGGAUGCUUCGGGCUACAGAGAGAAGGCUCCUCAGGGCGUCCAAGAGGAGGACAUGAGAAAACUGUCCGCUUUGUUGGAGAGGUCAUCGGUGAAGCUGAAAAGAAGCUAG
rnacentral:rRNA from 1 species